GAUCUGGCUCAGGAUGAACGCUAGCUACAGGCUUAACACAUGCAAGUCGAGGGGCAGCAUCAUCAAAGCUUGCUUUGAUGGAUGGCGACCGGCGCACGGGUGAGUAACACGUAUCCAACCUGCCGACAACACUGGGAUAGCCUUUCGAAAGAAAGAUUAAUACCGGAUGGCAUAGUUUUCCCGCAUGGGAUAAUUAUUAAAAGAAUUUCGGUUGUCGAUGGGGAUGCGUUCCAUUAGG
rnacentral:rRNA from 1 species